ACUUUGCACAGAAUUCAUCAAACCUAACCUGAUCGAAUUAUGGCCAUUAUUGCUGAUGAUCACUUGAGGUAGAGCAAAGUGGCAAAUGAUGGAUUUUCAUAGAAAGUCGGUGGUCUUCCUUUGCGUUAUCUGUGCCAGCGGCUUGGCCUCCACCCACUUAGUGAAGUAGUCAAUGGCAACAAUGAUGAACCUCCUUUGUCCACUGGCAGGCGGG
rnacentral:lncRNA from 1 species